GCCAAACUGGCUUAUAAUGAGAUUCACAGGUGUUGGAGAUAGCCAAUUUGGUUCUUAAGCUUGCUAGGGAGCAUUUCAAUUUUCCAUUAGAUGAUGAACGACUGAAGGUACAUAUUAGAGCUGAUCUAUAUGUUGCAGAUGAUCAUAGAUCCAUUCUGUCGAGUGUAUCAGCAAAAAUCGACACUCUCAUUGUUGAUGUGGCAGAAGUGAGGUAUUUCCUCAGGUUUACCACCUUCAGCUGGAGGAAGAUAAUGAAGUUAUCUUUGCUCUAAAGAUGAGGACUGACAGAGCACGUACUAUGGCCAAUGGAUUACUUGACGCGUCUGAACAAAUUGCCAGUUUCUUGAACCUAGAAAACGCCAUGGGCCAAAAGAUAAUGGAACUCUCGAACAAAGAUCAAAAGUUUAAGAUGAUUUUAUGCCAUCAGUGAUGAUUUUUAGGCAGACUAUGAUCUUACUAUUUGUUUAUAUAUUAAACUUCAUUUUGGAUAUGUAUACCAUGGGUCUUGUCAAAAGUAAUGACUUCAUUUGAAUUCUCGAUCUGCCUUUGUCUUUUUAUUGUGGAGAACAAAGCAGUUCGGUAAUUAGAUGAAUUACUGCUCCCUGGCUA